GCAGAACUAGCUUAGUUGGGAGAGCGUCAAACUAAAGAUCUAAAGGACCCUGGUUCGAUCCCGGGUUUCGGCA
rfam:Ixodes scapularis strain Wikel colony gcontig_1108378394604, whole genome shotgun sequence.